rnacentral:rRNA from 1 species
AGGACGAACGCUGGCGGCGUGCUUAACACAUGCAAGUCGAGCGGUAAGGCUCCUUCGGGAGUACACGAGCGGCGAACGGGUGAGUAACACGUGAGCAAUCUGCCCUUCACUUUGGGAUAACUUCCGGAAACGGAAGCUAAUACCGAAUACGACCAUUACAGACAUCUGUUGAUGGUGGAAAGUUCCGGCGGUGAAGGAUGAGCUCGCGGCCUAUCAGCUUGUUGGUGAGGUAACGGCCCACCAAGGCGACGACGGGUAGCCGGCCUGAGAGGGUGACCGGCCACACUGGGACUGAGACACGGCCCAGACUCCUACGGGAGGCAGCAGUGGGGAAUAUUGGACAAUGGGCGAAAGCCUGAUCCAGCAACGCCGCGUGAGGGAUGACGGCCUUCGGGUUGUAACCUCUUUCAGCAGGGACGAAGCGAGAGUGACGGUACCGUGACAAAGAAGCACCGGCCAACUACGUGCCAGCAGCCGCGGUAA